UAAUUUGAAUCCAUUCGAUACUUUGAUUCUUUUCGGAAGAGAAGCUCCAACAAUAGUAUCAAGAUGAAGGCUGCUGUUAUUCUUGCUGUUCUUGCUGUGGUGCUGUGCGCCAGCACUGUCAACUGUGACUGCCUUUGUCCCCGCAUCCUUGACCCCGUCUGUGACACCGCCGGCAACUACUACGACAACGCGUGCCAGUUGAACUGCGUUGAGGGUGCAGCCCAGGCCGCAGAGGGCGCCUACACCAUCAGUGGCAGCUCUUGUGUUGCUGCCAGGAAGUAGAUGACUUUCACCUUUGACCAGAUGGAGCGCCCGUGACAACGGAAGCACGUAUUGGUUGGGCAAUAAAAUGUAGAAGCAA